GGCCCUGACCGUCUUAUCGCCUCGCUUUCGGGCGGGGAGGAAAGUCCGGACAGCAUAGAGCACCCUACUUCCUAACGGGAAGGCGGGCGGGGGGUAACCACCGUUCGACAGCCAGUGUCACAGAAAAAAUACCGCCGCAGGGUAAGGGUGAAAAGGGGGUGUAAGAGACCACCGCGCGCUGGGCGACCAGCGGGGCAGGAUAAACCUUAGGGGCUGAAAGACCAAAUAUGUACCGGAUGCGGGGCGGCUCGUCUCCAUGCUCUCCUGCAAAGGAGGGAUGCCGGUACGGGUAGGUCGAUAGAGGGAGUCGGUGACGGCUCUCCCAGAUAAAUGAUAAGACGGUUCGACGCGCCCACGGGUACGGUCGGGCCGACAGAAUCCGGCUUAUAGGUCCGGGUCGUUG
rfam:Fibrella sp. ES10-3-2-2, complete genome.